CGCCUUUUGACUUGAGAGGUACUGCCUGCCCAGUGACACUUGUUCAACGGCCGCGGUAUUAUGACCGUGCAAAGGUAGCGUAAUCACUUGUCUUUUAAAUAAAGACCAGUAUGAAUGGCAAAACGAAAACUCAACUGUCUCCUCAGACAAGUCAGUGAAAUUGAUUUCCCCGUGAAGAAGCAGGGAUAAGAAUAUAAGACGAGAAGACCCUAUGGAGCUUUAAACCAAAAUCUAGCCAAUUUUAAUAACUUUUAAACAAUGGAAUUAGAUGGAAGUUUUAGGUUGGGGCGACCACGGGGAAAAAUUUAACCCCCGAGAAAGAAUUAAGAAGGACACUUCAAAAAAUAGUAAUAUUAAUAUACUGACCCAACAAUUGAUCAACGAACCAAGUUACCCUAGGGAUAACAGCGCAAUCCUUUCCCAGAGUCCUUAUCGACGAAAGGGUUUACGACCUCGAUGUUGGAUCAGGACCCCCAAAUGGUGCAAAAGCUGUUAAAGGUUCGUUUGUU
rnacentral:rRNA from 1 species